GGCCCCUUCGUCUAAUGGCUUAGGAUAGGUGGUUCUCAGCCAUCUGAUGCGGGUUCGAUUCCCGCAGGGGCUG
rnacentral:tRNA from 1 species